rnacentral:rRNA from 1 species
UCGCCUGUUUAUCAAAAACAUCGCUUUCUGAUUUAGAUAGAAAGUAUAGCCUGCCCACUGAAAAUUAAAGGGCCGCGGUAUUUUGACCGUGCAAAGGUAGCAUAAUCAUUAGUCUUUUAAUUAAAGGCUGGAAUGAAUGGUUGGACGAGGUAUUAGCUGUCUCAUAAAAAUCAACUUUGAAUUUAACUUUUUAGUCAAAAGGCUAAAAUAUAGUUGGAGGACGAGAAGACCCUAUAGAUCUUUAUAUUCUAUAUUUUUAUUCUUCUUAGAUGGGGUUUGAAUUAAGAGUGAAAAUAUUUCGUUGGGGUGACGAGAAGAAAACAAAACCUCUUCUUAACAAUUGACAUUAAUUAAUGAACAAAUGAUCCAUUUUUAGUGAUUAGAAGAACAAGUUACCUUAGGGAUAACAGCGUAAUCUUUUUCAAGAGUUCUUAUCGACAAAAAGGGUUGCGACCUCGAUGUUGGAUUAAAGAUUAUUUUGGGUGUAGAAGUUCAAAGUGUAGGUCUGUUCGACCUUUAAAUCUUUACAUGAUCUGAGUUCAAACCGGAGA